UUUUUCUUUUUUUUUUGAAGAGAACUUUUACGUUCUACUCUCUUAACAAAUUUCAAUUACACAAUAGAGUGUGAUCAACUGUAGUCACCAUGUGAUGCAUUACAUCCUCAGAUCUUCUUCAUCUUAUAACGAAAAGUUUGCACCUUUUUACAACCUCUCCCUAUUUUCCCGCCCUUCAGCCCCUGAUAAUUAGAGAAAGACAAAUACCACCCCAUUUUACAUGGAAUCUAAAGAAAAAGUUGAACUCACUGAUUAAUUAUUUUACCUGACAUGGAAACAGGAGGAAUUUCAAAGGCCUUUUAUGAACCAUUGAGGUAACAUCAUGCUGGCUCAUUUUUAGGUUUGAUAAGGUUAGUUCCUAAUUUACUUUAUGCUCUCCAGAUGCCAAGGGUUCAUUCUGUCAAGAGAAGCUUGCUGCUAUAUGUGUUUUUAGACGUGAGCUCUAGGGCACAGUCUAAGCCCAUAUGUCAAGUAAUAAUUAAGAAUCAGAACAACUGUCAAUUGGUUUGUUCAUUCUGAUAAGCCACAUUUGUUGGCACCAAAUCCCUUAGAAGCAGGAGAGGAGAUUUUCGUCCUUCCUCUGUUUUUGCCCCCAACGGUUCAUUUAUCUGAUAUGCCAGGAACGCCUCUGAAGGUCAUGGAACAAUGACAUUUUUUACCACCAUGAUCAACCUCUCUCAGAGGACUUUUUUGGAUCAAUCAGAGAAGAAAGCGCUUUCUCUCGGUGGAGUCCAACCUUAAUACCAUAUCACUCCAUUCCUGGCCAAAGAUAUAAUGGUAAUAAAAAUAAUAACUCUAGGGGCCCGCCCGGUGGCACAGUGGUUAAGUUUGCAGAUUCCUCUUCGGCGGCCCGGAGUUCACCAGUUUGGAUCCCAGGUGCGGACAUGGCACUGCUUGGCACUCCAUGCUGUGGUAGGCAUCCCACAUAUAAACUAGAGGAAGAUGGGCACAGAUGUUAGCUCAGGGCCAGUCUUCCUCAGCAAAAGGAGGAGGAUUGGCAGCAGAUGUUAGCUCAGGGCUAAUCUUCCUCAAAAGAAUAAAAAAAUAAUAAUAACUCUAAAAUUUUAAAUAGCACUUCGUGUUGCAGAGCACUUUUACCAUUAUCUAAGAAAUGCUUAAAAAUAUAAAAGAAGGGCUGGCUGCACUAGACACCCUGUACUGGAUAAGGAAAUGAAGUCUGAAAUGAGGAGAUAUUUCAAACUUGCCUAGCCCUGAAUUUUCUUCCUUUGAAGCUUGAAAGAGUGCUUUUAUAGCUCUCUGAUAUGCUGUGUUUCUGUACCUGUAGAUAGUGCCAUUUAGGGUCAUCUCACAUCCCCUUUGAUGUUAGAAAAUUUUAUAGUCCUUUUGUGAUCAGGGUACUGCUGUGGUCUGAGUGUUUGUGUCUCCCCAAAAUUCACAUGCUGAGACUUAACUCCUAAUGUGAUGGUGUUAGGAGGCGGGGCCUUUGAGCAGUGAUUAGGUUAUGAGCCCUAACUAAUCAGAUUACAGUCCUUAUCAAAGUCACCUGAGGAAGCUCCCUCACCUCUUCUGCCAUGUGAGGUUACAAUGAAAAGGCGGCCAUCUGGGAAGUGGGCUCUCAUCAGACACUGAAUCGGCUGGCCCCAUGACCUUGGACUUCCCAGGCUCCAGAAGCGUAAGAAAUAAAUGUUUGUUGUUGAUAAGCCUCCCAGUUUAUGCUAUUUUGGUAUAGCAGCCUGAACAGACUAGGACAGGUAUAGUUAGAGAGUCUGAGCUGGGGCUUUCAGGGUUUACGUACUCUUGCUGGUAGUAGUUUGUUGGGGAGGGCAUGUAUAGAUCUAAGCAAUACUCUUGGUAAAUGGAUGAUAUAGACUGAAUGUUUGUGCCACUCAAUAUUCAUAUGUUGAAGCCUAAAUCUCCAAUGUGAUAGAUUUGGUGGUGGGGCCUUUAGAAGGUAAUCAGGUCAUGAGGGUAGAACCCUAAUGAAUGGGAUUAGUGCCCUUAAUGAGAAGAGAUAUGAGAGAGAUGAUGUCUUUUUCUCACUCUCCAUCACAUGAGGACACAACAGGAAGAAGACCAUCUGCAAACCAGGAAGAAGGCCUUACCAGAAUCCUACCAUACAGGCACCCUGAUCUCAGACUUCCCAGCUUCCAGAACUGUGAGAAAUCAAUGUUUUCUAUUUACAUCAGCCAGGCUAUAGUAUUUUGCUAUAGCCGCCAGAUGGACUGACAGAGAGGGUGUCAGUUGUGUCCACUCCCACCUUCAGAGGUCUGACCUCCUGACUGGCCCAUGAUCUAAAAGCCUACCAUGUCACCCAGAGAGACCUUGCGCCUCUGAACUGGGAAUGUAAGUAGAACACACAGGCAAGUUCCUCCAUCUUUGAUACUAAACUCUGACCCCAAACUAACCCCAGUGUUUUAUUCUGGAAUAUGGAUCAUUAUGGUGUAGGUAAGAGAUUGAACUGAGAAGGUAUGAGGAAUAUUGUUAUAAUUUGGAGGGGCCCAGAGGACCUAUAAUUUAUGUCAGUGUUAUCAGAGUUGAGUCCUGAGUUCUGGGCUUGAGAUAUUACAUCACCUCCUUGAAUAUUCAUGGCCUCCAUAAAAUAUUCUUAAAAAUGUUUAAGCCUGACUGGUCUUUGGAAUCCCACGAAGGUCACAGCUAUAAGAAGGAGGGGAGCAGGAAUGUUCACGUGCCAUUAAAAGCUUAGCUUGUUCUGUAGAAACAUUGCUCAAAACAAAAACUUGUCACUACCUCUGACAACCUUUCUGUGAGUAACCGUCUUCUUUCCCUCACAGAGCAGCAGGGUGACACUAACACAGAGGGUAACGAAUUAAAAGCAUACUUUGUUCAGGGUUGUC
rnacentral:lncRNA from 1 species